GGGAGCCGGAUGCACAGAAAUGGGCACGUCCGGAUCUAACUGAGAGGUGCGCAGAAUAAUAUCCGCCAUCGACUCAAC
rfam:Scytonema tolypothrichoides VB-61278 scaffold_11, whole genome shotgun sequence.